AAAGUUUUAAGUUAAACAAACUAAUAGCCUUCAAAGCUAUAAAUACAAGAAAUAUCUUUUAAACUUUA
rnacentral:tRNA from 1 species